AUGAAGAGAAUGGAAUUCUUUAGCAUAUCUCUUCUAGAAGUACUUGUGUCAAAAUGGACCUGUUUGGAGAUAGAUGUUCUUCUCUGCAUUCAGAGAUCUGAAUUCCUAUCAGGCUUGUGGCAAGGACAAACUCUCCUAUCAGUGACACCUAUGAAACACAAAAAACCCACAAUGGAGUUACGGGGGGAUAAAUGAUUUGCAUGAUACUUCUGCACAGAGUUUGAUGGUUGAAGCGAAAGUGGACUGUUAAUAACAAGCCAACUGAAGUUAUUGCUUGCUUUAUCUUGAACAAGUUUUGCCCUAAAUACCUGCAUUUCCAAUACAUCGGAAAUUUUCUUGCUCCGAGUUCUUUGAAGUAGAUUGCAUUGUUGUGUGAAGUAGAGAAGAUGUGAAAAGCAAAAACUGAACGCAGCAAGCUCUGCCCUUCUUGAGUGCUCUGAGGGGUUCUUGGGGAAAAAGGGAAAAGAAUGCAAAAGAGAAGCACAAAGUUAAUCUUUCGUUCCUUCAGUAUUUUCUCAUGAUUCUUAACAAAAAUGUAUAAAAUUAAAAAAAAAAAUUAGAUUGAUGUCUAAUUACGUCCGAAUAGGAUCUGCCGAAGGAAAGCCAGCAGUCUUGUUCUGUUUGCUUCCAAUGACAAUAAGUAACCUUUUCAGCGGUUUUUUUGUUUGUUUUAUUCUCCCCCCAACUCUGUUCCCCUUCUACAACCAGGGAGUGUUUUUAAGGUUUUAAAAAUUUGAAUUGAGAUGAGAUUGUGUGAUAUAUGGUUACUGCGAUUCAUGUCUUUAAGUUUUCUCUGCCAAUAAGUGACUUCCUCUUCUUUUUCAUGACAAAGGUGUAUUUAAUCCUGUGAGAAGAAUUUUAAUAGUAUUUAUGGUAAAUAAGUGCAACAUUUAUUUACAGUAGUCUGCAUUAAUUCAGUUUAUGAGGCUUUUUGGACACUAUUAUUAACCAGCACAAAGUUGGGUUUGUGUUUUUGAGUGCUUCAGCCUGUGGUUUUGAUUUUAUUUUGUAAAAUAUUGAAUUGGUGGGGUUUUUAAAUUAAAAAUAAUUCUUAAUGACUAGAAAGCAUGGUUUAAAU
rnacentral:lncRNA from 1 species